rnacentral:rRNA from 1 species
UACGUAGGGUGCGAGCGUUAAUCGGAAUUACUGGGCGUAAAGCGUGCGCAGGCGGUUGUGCAAGACAGAUGUGAAAUCCCCGGGCUUAACCUGGGAACUGCAUUUGUGACUGCACGGCUAGAGUGUGUCAGAGGGAGGUAGAAUUCCACGUGUAGCAGUGAAAUGCGUAGAUAUGUGGAGGAAUACCGAUGGCGAAGGCAGCCUCCUGGGAUAACACUGACGCUCAUGCACGAAAGCGUGGGGAGCAAACAGG